AUUGAACGCUGGCGGCAUGCUUUACACAUGCAAGUCGAACGGCAGCGCGGGCUUCGGCCUGGCGGCGAGUGGCGAACGGGUGAGUAAUACAUCGGAACGUGCCCAGUAGUGGGGGAAGGCCGGCGAAAGCCGGGUUUAAACCCCCAACCACCCGAGGGUGGAAAGGGGGGAACUUUGGAACCCGCGGCAAUGGAGCCGGCGAUGGCAGAUUAGCUAGUUGGUGGGGUAAAGGCCUACCAAGGCGACGAUCUGUAGCUGGUCUGAGAGGACGACCAGCCACACUGGGACUGAGACACGGCCCAGACUCCUACGGGAGGCAGCAGUGGGGAAUUUUGGACAAUGGGCGAAAGCCUGAUCCAGCAAUGCCGCGUGUGUGAUGAAGGCCUUCGGGUUGUAAAGCACUUUUGGCGGGAACGAAAAGGACUGUGCCAAUACCACGGUUCGAUGACGGUACCCGCAGAAUAAGCACCGGCUAACGACGUGC
rnacentral:rRNA from 1 species